UUAGUCAAUGCUCGCAAGAGUGAACUAGCUAACUGAAAUAACACGACCCAUUACGUAUGGUGAAUGUUAUAACGUAAGGGAAAAAAAUGAUAUUACCUUACUACUAGUGUUGUCCAAAACUGGUGCCAGAAGACUCGGUAAGGCCAGAAACGCAAACGUUAGUCGUCUUAAUCAGGCGUAAAGGGUAUGUAGGCUGCUUUAAAAAUUCUAUAUUUAAAAUAGCUCUGUAAAAAACAAAAUGAAUUAGUUAUUUCUCUUUAUUGUAGAAUAAAAAAUUAAAAAAUUAAAAAAUUAAAAAAAAUUAAAAAAUUAAAAAAUUAAAAAAUUACAGUAAAAAAUAUAAAUGAAUUAAAGCUAGAAUCAAAUUGAAGAUAAUUAAAAUAAUACUUAGUGUAGGGUUUGAAUCUGGUGAUACUAGGGGGAAUACUAACGGUGAAAGCUUUUUAUCUAGAAAUGAUUGACGCUGAGAAACGAAGGUGAGAAUAGGAAAUAGGAUUAGAUACCCAGAUACCUCUCACAGUCAACGAUGAAUGGUGGUUGUUAGUUAGUUUAAUUUAACUGAUAACGAUGUUAACACGAUAACCAUUCCGCCUUGCGAGUACGGUUGCAAAACUGAAACCAAAAAAAUUAGUCGGUCUCGAA
rnacentral:rRNA from 1 species